rnacentral:tRNA from 1 species
GCCGAGCGGGGCUGCGGAGGCGCUCGCGGCUUGUACCCGUGGUGGCCCCUCGCAGCAACAGCGCUUCAGGGCUGCGCGUGCUCGGCG